rnacentral:tmRNA from 1 species
GGGGGCGAUCUGGUUUCGACCGGGUGACGGAAAUGUGGUGGGCGUGCCGUGGUUGAUCGGAUGGCCACGUAAAUAUCCGAUCGCACUUUAGCUGCUGAACCGCAGUUAAACCUGGCGGCCUAAGUAGGCUGCCCCAUGUCGUAAUCCCCGCCUGAGGGGUCGCGACGCGGACGUAAUUCGGGCUCGUCUGAACUAGAAACCUCGCAAGGGGUUAUGCUGGUGGAAGUUCGGACUAAAAAAACACAACCGGCUAGUGACAUGCGCUCCUGCUGUUCGGAUUGUUUGUCGCGAACGCGGAAGGCUGCCGCAAGGCAGGCCAACCAGUUAGAAUCUGCUACGCACGUAGAUCACUACACGGAAGCACUUCGGGACCGGGGUUCAACUCCCCGCGCCUCCACUU